rnacentral:lncRNA from 1 species
CUUGCAUAUAUUUUGCUACAGAAGAGGGUUGCUUGUACGGAACUUUUUUGGUGAGUGCUCGGUAGCUGAAGCAACGCAUCUGUGUUCAGCUGACGUUGCCAGCGAUCCAACCCACAAACAAAACACCGCCACGUUGGCUUGGAGAUGCGUUUACUUCUUAUUCACUGUGUUUUUCCAAGCAGGGCUGCUGGAGCAGUCCGGAGACUUGUUCCAAUUACUCCAGUACUUCCCUUUCUUCGAAAUAGCAGCACCUGCGAGUCGCUGGUCGUCCAGCGGCGCGGUCCGAGCAACGCAUUGGAAGAAUGAUUGGGAGUUCGGUUUCCGAGAGCUCGCGGCUUAAUCCUCCGGCAGCGGCAGCGGCAGCGGCAGCGGCAGCGGAGAGCGGCUGCGUGCGGGAGGAGCUCCCUCUGCUGCACGAGCAGGGGAAGCGACCCGGCGUGAAACAGCCGGGAUUCGCUCCGCCCUCGUUCCUCCCUCUGACGCCGGCAGCAGUGGGAAGUCUGGAAACGUGAGCUGUUAACACGGAGAUCAAGGAGAGCCCCGGAAAGCGUUGGAAUUUGGUCUUCGCAGUUAGCGUUGCGGUAGCCGGGUGCUCUGCGCUUUGGCUGCGUGCAGCUGGAAGAGGCGAGGUAGCCUGACUCCGGCAGAAGGGGCACUGCACUUCAUCAGCUGAGCAGAGGUAAGCCUCAGGCAAUCAAGCUCAGGGUGUGGACGCGAAGGAACGAGCGAAACGCAGAUAGGUGAGGGACGGAGCUUUGGCAGACGUCUGCAGAGAGACGGCAAAGCGCAGAGUUGUAGGGUGCUGUCAGCAGAAGAACUUGCGGUUGUUUUGAUCAGGAAAAUGGAGGCUGAGAUACAGGAAUCUCAUUCGCUGAGCCGUUCGGGACUGCUGCGUUUCGGUGUGCUGCUGUAGAGCAGCUUGGCAAGCAGAACUUGAGAGAGCAGCCAAAGUGAUGGACAACUGGAAGCAAGGCUUUCUUGGGAGCAGAGGAGCGGAGAAAUGAGCGGCGAAAGCAAAGUCUGUGUGAUGGGAUGGCUGUCCUGGUGGGCGUGUGCUCUCAGGAGAGGGGAGAUGGGAUUUUUAAAGCACCUGGGCUGGUAAGCCUGCAUAGUGAAGUCCUUCCUCAGAGGUGUCUUAGGCAGCACAUCUGCCCCCCGGGAAGCCCGAUUAAUCUCCUGCUAAGGUCUGUCCAGGCCAAAAGUAAAACGUGGGAAAGAAACUCCUCCCUGUAGGACGAGCAGCACAAGUCCUCAGAGACCAGAGACUCAGCACAAGCAGAUCUGAGCCCAGAGCUUUGAGGCAAAACACAAGAGCAGCUCUUGCGAAGGGUGACAAGAGUGCAAAGCGGAGCGCUGAGAGCACCUGCCAGCUCUGCUGGGAAAGACUGAGGGCUCUGGCUGUGAACGGGACACCUCUCCCCAUUCACUUGAUUGAGGUAGAUGAGCUCUCUAACUUUGCAAGCAAAUGCACUCCUCCUCAGCUCUGAAACUCUCACACACAAUUGCUUGGUUUCCCUGAUAAGAACAGCCAAGCAGAAGAACAAAGAGUAGUUAUCAGCAGCGCAGCCCAAGGCCGUAUUCUUACAGCAGCAGCCACAGUGCUGUUGCAAGUUUUCAGUCUGUUCUGCACAAGAAGGCUAGGCACUCCUACCGCACGCUGUCAUGCGACAGGCUGCUUGGUGGGGCUUCCCCUCCUGCAAGAUGGUAAGAACAGCUCUUACGACAGCGGGAGAAGAGCAAGAACAGCAAGGCUGAAAUGCCAACAGGCUGAUGAACAUUUUUUCCCCGUGUUACGCAGACUGCUUUGUCUUCUGUGCUCCCCUGCACAGGCAGGGAGUGGGAUAUGCUCCUACCAGAUCACAUGAGAGACUUGAGAACAAGUUUUGCAUCUUGCAUCUUCCAGCAGGAGGAUCUGUUACGUUGCUAAAUGCAGAGCAGUCAGCUGGAAAGCGAACUGAUGGACUUAAAGCAGCUGUAGCAAUCGUAUCCUGAUCCUGUAACGUUCUCCUGUAUGAAUCAUUCAAGCAACACUGACGUGUGAGCGUGUGUAAAAUCGUGUCACAUCACUUUGAGGGGAGACUGGCGAGGUGCAGGUCUGACUUCAGAUACUUCAGCCUUUCUGUCCAGCCAGUGCUGUUGCAUUUGUCUCAGCCUGACAGGCAGCAGCAGAAGUCGGGGCUCUGAUGCAUUUCUGCAUUAAGGCACCCCUUGUUUGUCGUCACAUGAGAUGCUGAUGUUGUAGCUUACUUCUGCAAGUGUGGGCUUCUCGCUGAUAUGUAGGUUUCUCUUGGAUUAGCUAUGAUGAUGAAAUAAUGCCAAAGUCAUAUUAAACUGAAAUAGUAGCAAUUUGUAACUGAUAUAUAUGUAUAUGUAUAUAUAAAAAUAAAGCUUUAAGAAUGCAGAACAAAGCCUGGCUCUGGAUGACUGAUGACACAGCGGUACUUGUUGCUUUAUACCUAGGGCAGGAAUGUCC